UCUGCAAACUCACAUAUUUAAAUUUGUUAUUCCCCUCCUUCUUACCUACCCCUUCCUGCUUUUUCUUGAUGCAGUCAACCUGUGUGCGGAGAUCAAAAUUUAUGAUGUGCACUGGCAGUAAUGUUUCAGGUCACCUUCCAACACAUUCAAGUCAAAAUACAACUUCAAGUGGAUUGCUUUCUGGAAAUAUGUGGAGGACUUAUCUUCACUGGUGCCACAGAGAGAAAAUCCUCCUCAGUCCAUGCAAGAUGAUAGUAAAUUCC